AUUGAACGCUGGCGGCAGGCCUAACACAUGCAAGUCGAACGAGUGGCGGACGGGUGAGUAAUGUCUGGGAAACUGCCUGAUGGAGGGGGAUAACUACUGGAAACGGUAGCUAAUACCGCAUACCAUCGGAUGUGCCCAGAUGGGAUUAGCUAGUAGGUGGGGUAAAGGCUCACCUAGGCGAACAUCCCUAGCUGGUCUGAGAGGAUGACCAGCCACCCUGGAACUGAGACACAGUCCAGACUCCGAGGGUAGGCGGCAGUGGGGAAGAUUGCACAAGGGGCGCAAGCCGGAUGCAGCCAUGCCGCGUGUAUGAAGAAGGCCUUCGGGUUGUAAAGUACUUUCUGCGGGGAGGCGUUACCCGCAGAAGAAGCACCGGCUAACUCCGUGCCAGCAGCCGCGGUAAUAC
rnacentral:rRNA from 1 species